AACGAACGCUGGCGGCAUGCCUAACACAUGCAAGUCGAACGAGACCUUCGGGUCUAGUGGCGCACGGGUGCGUAACGCGUGGGAACCUGCCCUUAGGUUCGGAAUAACUCCCCGAAAGGGGUGCUAAUACCGGAUAAUGUCUUCGGACCAAAGAUUUAUCGCCUUUGGAUGGGCCCGCGUUGGAUUAGCUAGUUGGUAGGGUAAAAGCCUACCAAGGCGACGAUCCAUAGCUGGUCUGAGAGGAUGAUCAGCCACACUGGGACUGAGACACGGCCCAGACUCCUACGGGAGGCAGCAGUGGGGAAUAUUGGACAAUGGGCGAAAGCCUGAUCCAGCAAUGCCGGGUGAGUGAUGAAGGCCUUAGGGUUGUAAAGCUCUUUUACCCGGGAUGAUAAUGACAGUACCGGGAGAAUAAGCCCCGGCUAACUCCGUG
rnacentral:rRNA from 1 species